ACGGGCGCAUACAUAGCGC
rnacentral:snRNA from 1 species